GACGAACGCUGGCGGCGUGCUUAACACAUGCAAGUCGAACGGAAAGGCCCUGCUUUUGUGGGUGCUCGAGUGGCGAACGGGUGAGUAACACGUGAGUAACCUGCCCUUGACUUUGGGAUAACUUCAGGAAACUGGGGCUAAUACCGGAUAGGAGCUCCUGCUGCAUGGUGGGGGUUGGAAAGUUUCGGCGGUUGGGGAUGGACUCGCGGCUUAUCAGCUUGUUGGUGGGGUAGUGGCUUACCAAGGCUUUGACGGGUAGCCGGCCUGAGAGGGUGACCGGCCACAUUGGGACUGAGAGACGGCCCAGACUCCUACGGGAGGCAGCAGUGGGGAAUAUUGCACAAUGGGCGGAAGCCUGAUGCAGCAACGCCGCGUGCGGGAUGACGGCCUUCGGGUUGUAAACCGCUUUCGCCUGUGACGAAGCGUGAGUGACGGUAAUGGGUAAAGAAGCACCGGCUAACUACGUG
rnacentral:rRNA from 1 species